GCGUUUCCUGGCGGAUUUCGCUAGCCUCAGAGGUUCACUGUGACCCUCCACGUAACCCUUCUUUCUCUAGAGACAAGGGUCACAGUCUACUGAGCCAUUUUCAUCAUAAGCCAGCAAGUCAUGAUGAGUGAGCCGAGGGAGAGGAAGCAAGCAAGAGUGAGAUGUGUGAAUCAAAGUGCUUCGUCAAGCAUUGCGGCUUUGAGGAGACAAUCGUCGAGAUAAGGAAACAUUAUGACAUCUUGUCUGCUGAGGAAGGCAGUGACUACGGCUAUCAGCUUGGAAAAAACUCGGGGGGCGGUGGAUAGGCCAAAGGGUAGCACCCUGUAUUGAAAAUGUGUCGAGCUGAAGGGGUUUGAAUUCCCAGGGACCGGAGAGUUGCCCUUAAGUCCUCCAUUGAGUGAAGUACGUCAUUCGUCGUGGAGACAAAGAGUUUGUCACCGUCAAAGGGAAGAUCUUCAGUGGUACUCUGGACCUCUUGAGGAAAGGAGAAGGAGGAGAGCCAUGAACCUCGGCAAUGACAACUGCUGUAGCAGUAGAUCUUGCUGCAGUAUUGGCUGCAUCGAGGGCACUUGAAGAGUGGUACUUGAGAUAAUUUGUCCCUCAGAAACUGGAGCCAUAAAAUGUUGUUUCUUUUUUCUGGAAUGUUAUCAGUAAAGUCCAUGAAUUUGUAAUUUUUGUGGUCAUAUU